rnacentral:rRNA from 1 species
CGGAUAGAAGUAAGCAUGCAGGCAUGAGUAGCGAUAAUUAAGGUGAGAAUCCUUAACGCCGAAAACCCAAGGUUUCCUACGCGAUGCUCGUCAUCGUAGGGUUAGUCGGGUCCUAAGUCGAGACUGAAAAGUGUAGACGAUGGCAAAUUGGUUAAUAUUCCAAUACCAACAUAUAAGCGCGAUGU